UACGAAGGGGGCUAGCGUUGCUCGGAAUCACUGGGCGUAAAGCGCACGUAGGCGGAUCUUUAAGUCAGGGGUGAAAUCCUGGAGCUCAACUCCAGAACUGCCUUUGAUACUGGCGAUCUCGAGUCCGGGAGAGGUGAGUGGAACUGCGAGUGUAGAGGUGAAAUUCGUAGAUAUUCGCAAGAACACCAGUGGCGAAGGCGGCUCACUGGCCCGGUACUGACGCUGGAGGUGCGAAAGCGUGGGGAGCAAACAGG
rnacentral:rRNA from 1 species